GAUGAAGAACGUAGCGAAAUGCGAUAAGUAGUGUGAAUUGCAGAAUUCAGUGAAUCAUCGAAUCUUUGAACGCACAUUGCGCCCCUUGGUAUUCCAUGGGGCAUGCCUGUUCGAGCGUCAUUUCAACCCUCAAGCCCCCGGGUUUGGUGUUGGGGAUCGGCUCUGCCCUUCUGGGCGGUGCCGCCCCCGAAAUACAUUGGCGGUCUCGCUGCAGCCUCCAUUGCGUAGUAGCUAACACCUCGCAACUGGAACGCGGCGCGGCCAUGCCGUAAAACCCCAACUUCUGAAUGUUGACCUCGGAUCAGGUAGGAAUACCCGCUGAACUUAAGCAUAUCAAUAAGCGGAGGA
rnacentral:misc_RNA from 1 species